GCAUCGGGGGUUCAAUGGUAAAAUUCUCGCCUGCCACGUGGGAGACCCGGGUUCGAUUCCCGGCCGAUGCA